rnacentral:rRNA from 1 species
UACGGGGGGGGCAAGCGUUGUUCGGAAUUACUGGGCGUAAAGGGCUCGUAGGUGGCCAACUAAGUCAGACGUGAAAUCCCUCGGCUUAACCGGGGAACUGCGUCUGAUACUGGAUGGCUUGAGUUUGGGAGAGGGAUGCGGAAUUCCAGGUGUAGCGGUGAAAUGCGUAGAUAUCAGGAGGAACACCGGUGGCGAAGGCGGCACUCUGGGCCGGUACUGACGCUGAGGAGCGAAAGCGUGGGGAGCGAACAGG